rnacentral:rRNA from 1 species
GGAGCGGCCGAUGUCUGAUUAGCUAGUUGGUGGGGUAAAGGCCCACCAAGGCGACGAUCAGUAGCUGGUCUGAGAGGACGAUCAGCCACACUGGGACUGAGACACGGCCCAGACUCCUACGGGAGGCAGCAGUGGGGAAUUUUGGACAAUGGGCGAAAGCCUGAUCCAGCAAAGGCGCGUGUGUGAAGAAGGCCUUCGGGUGUAAAGCUUAUGGUCCGGAAAGAAAUGGCUCUGGUUAAUACCGAGGUCGAUGAC